rnacentral:rRNA from 1 species
GUGGGGAAUAUUGCACAAUGGGCGAAAGCCUGAUGCAGCAACGCCGCGUGAGGGACGACGGCCUUCGGGUUGUAAACCUCUUUUAGUAGGGAAGAAGCGAAAGUGACGGUACCUGCAGAAAAAGCACCGGCUAACUACGUGCCAGCAGCCGCGGUAAUACGUAGGGUGCAAGCGUUAUCCGGAAUUAUUGGGCGGAAAGAGCUCGUAGGCGGUCUGUCGCGUCUGCUGUGAAAACUGGAGGCUCAACCUCCAGCCUGCAGUGGGUACGGGCAGACUAGAGUGCGGUAAGGGAGAUUGGAAUUCCUGGUGUAGCGGUGGAAUGCGCAGAUAUCAGGAGGAACACCGAUGGCGAAGGCAGAUCUCUGGGCCGUAACUGACGCUGAGGAGCGAAAGCGUGGGGAGCGAACAGGAUUAGAUACCCUAGUAGUCC